UAAUACCGAAUAGGACCGCAUGCUUCAUGGUGUGUGGUGGAAAGCUUUUGCGGUGUGGGAUGGGCCCGCGGCCUAUCAGCUUGUUGGUGAGGUAAUGGCUUACCAAGGCGACGACGGGUAGCCGGCCUGAGAGGGUGACCGGCCACACUGGGACUGAGAUACGGCCCAGACUCCUACGGGAGGCAGCAGUGGGGAAUAUUGCACAAUGGGCGCAAGCCUGAUGCAGCGACGCCGCGUGAGGGAUGACGGCCUUCGGGUUGUAAACCUCUUUCGCCAGGGACGAAGCGCAAGUGACGGUACCUGGAGAAGAAGGACCGGCCAACUACGUGCCAGCAGCCGCGGUAAUACGUAGGGUCCGAGCGUUGUCCGGAAUUACUG
rnacentral:rRNA from 1 species